UACUGAAGGGAAAUUGUUAAACCAUGUGUUUUGAAAUAGUUUUACAUCAAUUUUAACUAGCCAUGUUCCAUAGAAAACUCUAUAGAUUUGCCUUUGCCGAUGUGGAAAGGGACAAUGCAUGGAUGGUAAUCUUUUCAAAUGUUCAGCCCAAUGUUAACCAGCAUCAUGAUAUUGUGAAAGUACAUUGUGUACAACUGUACAAAUGAAUGUACAUUUUUUACUGACAUCAAAAUAAUACACCAACACAGCUCAUCUACUUUAAUGCCUUUAAUGAUGUAUAGGUAGUGCUGUUUUUGUCUUCAUUAUAAAUCACUGCCCCCCCCC
rnacentral:lncRNA from 1 species